ACAGUCGUUGUAUACAAUUCCUUUCUUUCUGUAUCGGCAGAGGAACGGAACCUUCUACCCCUUUCCCCUCCCCCUCUCUCUCAAGAUGCAUAUAUGUGCGUGUGUUUAUAUAUACGCUACAAUAUAGAUUGAAAUUCACCUGAAUCUCAGUGGAUGAAAUGGCUUCGUCGCUCGAAAACGGUCACGAUAACAGCGGGGAUUAUCGCGGUGACACACUGGAGAUUUAUCCGCUGAGCUGUUACUACUUUGGCUCGAAGCCGGCCGUUCCUGUCAGGGACGAGACCUUGGCCGAUCGCCUCCACCGCCUCAAAUCCAAUUAUGCUGCUCGCGGGAUGAGGACUUGCGUGGAGGCCGUCAUUCUGGUUGAGUUGUUCAAACAUCCCAAUCUGUUACUCUUGCAAGUACGAAAUUCUGUAUUUAAGCUCCCUGGCGGCCGCAUGAGACCAGGUGAAUCAGAAGUUGAAUGUUUGAAACGUAAGCUCUCAAGCAAGUUAUCUGUUGAAGAAGGCAGUGGGCCGGACUGGGAGGUGGGAGAGUGCCUAGGAAUGUGGUGGAGGCCCCAUUUUGAGGCCUUGAUGUACCCUUGCCUGCCACCAAAUGUGAAAAUGCCCAAGGAGUGCACAAAGCUCUUUCUCGUCAAGUUACCAGAAAGUCGGAAAUUCACUGUACCUAAAAACUUUAAACUGCUUGCUGUUCCAUUGUGCCAGAUUCAUGAAAACUACAAGACAUAUGGGCCGAUCAUAUCUGGAGUUCCACAAUUGCUUUCGAAGUUCACCUUCAACAUUAUCCAAUCAUAAGUGAUCUAUUGGAAGUUAUUUGGUAUUUGCUGCAGUUGGGGCCUUGUCCGUCAUGAAGCUGAAAUCAUAUUUCAUCAUGAGAUAAUACAUAGUUUGAUAUCGUUUUUUACGUUUUUAUGGAUGGGUGGAAUGGAUUGAUAGACAGCUAGUAAACAUCCCUCGAAUUGGAGGAUCAUGGAUAGAUAGAAACCUGUCAGCAAAAGGAAGACAACAGAUAACAAGGUAAUUACUCCGCUGUUUUACUCAAGUUCGAAUGUGAAAAGGUGUUCGAAUGUGAAAAGGUGUUGGGGCUUUGGAGAGGUGAGAGGGCCAGGGCUAGGGCCUUUUAUCACAGCUACUUAUUUCUUACUUGAGAUUUCAAAUCUGACUGGCUAACAUUUCAAGCCGCCCAAGGAUAAACCUGUUAGUGUAGGUGUUCUAGAUCCAAUUAGAUUGAGUAUGUUGUACACUUACAAUUGUAAUUAUGUUUAUUAUUGAAUAAGGAGUUAUUUAAUCUCACAAAGAAGUCGUUCUAUUAGUUUCUUGUUAUUAUUGUAAUAAUCGAGUGAAACUAGAUAGAAGCUCAUAUGAUGUAUACUGUGAUUAAUCUAUAAAGAUGUGAGAUGAUGUAUAACAGUUUCUAGACAUCAUUAAACAUCCCAAGUCGUAGUAAUGUUAAGAAUGGACAUUGACAA